GAUGAACGCUGGCUACAGGCUUAACACAUGCCAGUCGAGGGGAAACGCCGGGGAAGCUUGCUUCCCCGGGCGUCGACCGGCGCACGGGUGAGUAACGCGUAUCCAACCUGCCUCUGACUGAGGGAUAACCCGUCGAAAGUCGGCCUAAUACCUCAUGGUAUCGUCUGCGGGCAUCCAACGACGAUUAAAGAUUUCAUCGGUCAGGGAUGGGGAUGCGUCUGAUUAGCUUGUUGGCGGGGUAACGGCCCACCAAGGCUACGAUCAGUAGGGGUUCUGAGAGGAAGGUCCCCCACAUUGGAACUGAGACACGGUCCAAACUCCUACGGGAGGCAGCAGUGAGGAAUAUUGGUCAAUGGGCGAGAGCCUGAACCAGCCAAGUAGCGUGCAGGAAGACGGCCCUAUGGGUUGUAAACUGCUUUUAUGCGGGGAUAAAGUGAGGGACGUGUCCCUCAUUGCAGGUACCGCAUGAAUAAGGACCGGCUAAUUCCGUG
rnacentral:rRNA from 1 species